GUGCACGCCUUUAGUCCCAGGACUCAGAAGACAAGAGGCAAGUGGGCCUUGGUGGGAUUAGAAAGUGAUUUGAAUUCCCAGAUACAGGGCUUCUCUCUGAUCUGAAGACAGUUUGGGGAGUUGUGGAGACGGUACCUGCUAAGCUCAGUAAUAUGUCUUUCAUUCCAGUUCAGUGAGUGCCAUAUCUGAGAUACUCAUCCUGCCCUUACUUUACUUCUCCUGCUGUCAAAUUUCACUGUUCAUCUGUCAUUCAGUGGCACCACUCUGCCUAAUCCUGUGUCUCCUUUUCUCUAGCUGGAUCUCAGUCCAGCUCUCAGGACUACUUUCCUUUUACAAUUUUCCUUUUACAAGAAUAUCUUUGCACACUUUGCCAGCUUUACUAUUUGUCCCUCAGCAUGAUUUAUCUUUGCUCCUUAUUUUAAAAGCAAAAACCAAAAUAAAACGAAAAACAAAAUACAAAAAAACUGACCAGGUGUGGUGCUAAAUAACUUUGAUUUCAGCACUUUGGAGGCAGAAGCAGGCAUAUCUCUUGAGUUUGAGGUCAGCCAAACGCUACAUAGCAAGACCCUGUCUCAAAAAUAAACAAACAAAAACAACAGAAUCAGCAAAAUGCAGCAGAAAUACUACAAGCCGGAAGUAAAGCUUAAAUUACCCAUUUUUUCCCAUUGGAUACACUUCCUUUCAUACUUCAUUUGUUGCACAUCCCCUAUAAGUAAUACUGUUAGCUAGAUAGCAGUGCAUUCUUCCUAUCGAACGAGUUUUCUCACCAUCAUUACAGGGGUUGUGUAGUACUCUAUUCCAUAUUACAAGCUCCACAAAGAUGACUAGCUUGUAUCACUCUGCUUACUAGCUCUUUCCAUAGACCAGUUGUAAACUGGCCCUGCUUUCCACCAUCAAUGCCCUGGGCCCUGCAAUUCCUCCUCUGCCAGCUGAUACAGCAUGGUCUUAGACCAUGUGCACUUCUAAGAGAGCCUAUAUCAUAUCUAUCUGCUUGCUGGUCACCUUUUUAUUUUCUCUAAAACACCCUUCUUGUGCUUUGGCUUGUAUGUUUCCUGUGGUCCCUCCGUCACCUAUACCCUGUGAUUCUCGGUGAAGUCUUCUCUGGAGCCCCUAUGCACCUUUAUAAAAAGGGUGGAGUUGGGUGGGUAGGGAGAAUCUGAAAGGAGUUGGUGGAGAGGAAAAGAGAGGACAAAAUUUAAAGAACAACAACAAAAAAAAAAAAAACCCAAACUUUGUUCCCUGUGUUCGUUAUACCUGUAAUACCCAUAGAUUAGUGUGUCUCUUUACCCUCAGCAGAAAAAUUGCCUUUUUUCUUUCUUUUUCUUUUUGGGGGAGAGGGGGUUGUUUGAGACAGGGUCUUUCUUUGUAAUCUUGGCUGUCUUGGAACUUGCUCUAUAGACCAGGCUGGCCUCAAACUAGAGAUCCACCAGCCUCUGCCUCCCAAGUGCUGGGAUUAAAGGUGUGUGCCGCCACUGCCCAGUGAGAAGCUCUUUUUUGCAGUAGACAGUGAGCAAUACAAAGACCCAGGACUGAUCAACAUGCAGAGAAUAAGAGAUUGGAGUGGUCAGUACUUUAUUUUUUGAGACAGGAUAGGCAGAUUGUCCAGCCAGUGAGCUUCAGAAAUCCACCUGUCUCUGCUCUUUAUUCCAUGCCUGAACACUGAGAUCACAGGGAAUUUUCUUUUUUUUAAAUGAAGCUCCAGAGUAAGCAUUUUGUUUUAUUUUAUUUUAAUCUUAUAUAUAUGAUGAGUACACUGUAGCUGUCUUCAGACACACCAGAAGAGGCCAUCGGAUCCCAUUACAGAUGGUUGUGAGCCACCAUGUGGUUGCAGGGAAUUGAACUCAGGACCUCUGGAAGAGCAGUCAGUGCUCUUAACCGCUAAACCAUCUCUCCACCACAGGAAUUUUUUUAAUAUGGAGUUCCCAACUCAGGUCUACAUACCUACAUAGUAGGAAACUUUGAAACAGCCAUCUUCAGACUCUUAUUUCCUAUUUCUAAUAGAGACCUCCUAGAGACUCAGCAUUAUAACUCUAGACAAAGUGAGGAGCCACAGCAGCAAUGCACUAUCCAGUAGUCACACUAUAGAAUACUACUAAGAGUAUUAAGUUGGAGGAAUGAGGAUCUCCAUAAAAGGUCCCAACCACAGUAUAUCUGGGCUUCUUCACAUCUCUACCCAGCUCUGGUGUGGCCAGACCAUUGUACCUCUAAGUACCUGUUCCAUGCUUCUCUACCUUACUAGGCUCAAGCAACAGCGCAUCCUAUUUAUCCUGACCUCUGGAAUAGAGCACCUGUUUUUCUUUUUCAGGAGCCACUGCUUUUAUGCUUUCUUGUCUUCUUUGCUCAUGAGCCUGGUCUCUUUUACCAUUGGCUCUUCUGACACUGUGGCACAGGGAUAGUAAAACUGCAGAGGAGCUUUAGAGUGGACAGUCAGCACUUAGUAGGCAACUAGUAGGAGACUUCACGAUGAGGAGAAGUAGUGGUUCCCAAGUGACUGUAUAUACAACAGUGGGACAUCUAGACUCUGAAAUCUUUCUUCAGCCUGAGGCUGAGGAUACUGGACGUCUCAUUCCUGUUGCUUCUGUUGACUAGUACCAUAGAGUUCUGUCUUCCUUUGGAGAAAGGAGAAAUCAGCCCAAAAGGGGCCUGAGGGCUGGGGAGCAGCAGUAGUUGGGGGACAAACACAGCUUCUACAUUGUCUGCUAGGAAUUUGGGUAUUGAGAUCUGCCUAGAGUCAGGUUCAGGUGGCCAGGGCUCUGCAGAUGGGAUAAUAGUUUGACAAGAGGG
rnacentral:lncRNA from 1 species